rnacentral:rRNA from 1 species
AGUGAACGCUGGCGGUAGGCCUAACACAUGCAAGUCGAACGGCAGCACAGAGGAGCUUGCUCCUUGGGUGGCGAGUGGCGGACGGGUGAGGAAUACAUCGGAAUCUACUCUGUCGUGGGGGAUAACGUAGGGAAACUUACGCUAAUACCGCAUACGACCUACGGGUGAAAGCAGGGGACCUUCGGGCCUUGCGCGAUUGAAUGAGCCGAUGUCGGAUUAGCUAGUUGGCGGGGGAAAGGCCCACCAAGGCGACGAUCCGUAGCUGGUCUGAGAGGAUGAUCAGCCACAAUGGAACUGAGCCACGGUCCAGACUCCUACGGGAGGCAGCAGUGGGGAAUAUUGGACAAUGGGCGCAAGCCUGAUCCAGCCAUACCGCGUGGGUGAAGAAGGCCUUCGGGUUGUAAAGCCCUUUUGUUGGGAAAGAAAUCCAGCUGGCUAAUACCCGGUUGGGAUGACGGUACCCAAAGAAUAAGCACCGGCUAACUUCGUGCCAGCCGCCGCCGUAA